UGGGGAAUAUUGGACAAUGGGCGCAAGCCUGAUCCAGCCAUGCCGCGUGAGUGAUGAAGGCCUUAGGGUUGUAAAGCUCUUUCAGUGGGGACGAUAAUGACGGUACCCACAGAAGAAGCCCCGGCUAACUUCGUGCCAGCAGCCGCGGUAAUACGAAGGGGGCUAGCGUUGUUCGGAUUUACUGGGCGUAAAGCGCACGUAGGCGGAUCUUUAAGUCGGGGGUGAAAUCCUGGAGCUCAACUCCAGAACUGCCUUCGAUACUGGGGAUCUAGAGUCCGGAAGAGGUGAGUGGAACUCCUAGUGUAGAGGUGGAAUUCGUAGAUAUUAGGAAGAACACCAGUGGCGAAGGCGGCUCACUGGUCCGGUACUGACGCUGAGGUGCGAAAGCGUGGGGAGCAAACAGG
rnacentral:rRNA from 2 species